rnacentral:rRNA from 1 species
UAAUUGAAGAGUUUGAUCAUGGCUCAGAUUGAACGCUGGCGGCAGGCCUAACACAUGCAAGUCGAGCGGUAACAGGGGAAGCUUGCUUCUCGCUGACGAGCGGCGGACGGGUGAGUAAUGUAUGGGGAUCUGCCCGAUAGAGGGGGAUAACUACUGGAAACGGUAGCUAAUACCGCAUAAUCUCUCAGGAGCAAAGCAGGGGAACUUCGGUCCUUGCGCUAUCGGAUGAACCCAUAUGGGAUUAGCUAGUUGGUGAGGUAAUGGCUCACCAAGGCGACGAUCCCUAGCUGGUCUGAGAGGAUGAUCAGCCACACUGGGACUGAGACACGGCCCAGACUCCUACGGGAGGCAGCAGUGGGGAAUAUUGCACAAUGGGCGCAAGCCUGAUGCAGCCAUGCCGCGUGUAUGAAGAAGGCCCUAGGGUUGUAAAGUACUUUCAGUCGGGAGGAAG